AAAAUGUGUAACUGUCUACAUGCCAUUGAUUACAUGACAAUAUUAAUCUAAAGACAAAAAAUUCUAUCUGGAGCUCAUUUAAGUGCUAUAAUUUUAACAGCCUCUGGCAAGUACACAGUUUAAACUACAUGAUUAAAACUAGGUAAGAACAAAGACAAAUGGCGUAACUUGGUAUUUUAAAUGCCAUAAAAUUCGAGCUUGAGUAUAAAGUUUACAGUAGGGCUUUUAUUUUUCAUCUUUACUAAUAGGAUUUGUAAAAGAACAUUUGCCAAAGCU